CCGCCCUGCAGCCAUUGGCCAGCUCGCCGCCAAUCAACGGAAACCGCCGGGGCUGCCCAGAGAAGAGGCUGUGCUCUGGGGCUCCGGCUCCUCAGAGAGCUACGGCUAGGUUGCUACUUGAGGGAAGGACAAUGCUUGCUUAUGGCUGUUUCCCUAUUGCCAAAGGACAAGGAGGUCUUCGAGGUCAAAACUGUUUUCACACUAGCAAGAUGUUUGCCUUUUCCACUCAUUCCUGCAAGUGUACAGAGGCUACAUGAUGCGCAGUGACAGCCUUGAUGUUAAUGAAUGGUGCUGCAUGUUCUUGACUUUUCUAAGGGGGUGGUUUCGAUCCACAGUUGGUUGGAUCCACAGAUGGGGAACCUGAGUACAUGGAAAUGGCUGAGUCUGUAAAUGUGGCUGGACUUCCUACGCUGACUUGGACUUGCCAUGCAUUAGCGUGAGCUAAUCAAAUAUACUCUUAUGUGACAGCUUGGCAACAGACAGAACAUGUCCUGAAAUAGUCCAAGUGUGGAAUACAUUUGUUAAUCUCAUGGUGUAUCUUAAACAACUAUACAUUGACUUCUGGAUUAGUGGUGAAACUGCAAUAGUGGGGAAAACUUGAACCUUGCACAGAUCACGGCAGUGGAAUCAAACUAGAAGUUAUUCUUCACAGUCAUGCAUUUUACGUGUAAAAUUCCUCAAAAAGAAAAAGCUAGUUUUACCUUAAAAUAUCCUUGUGAAAGCAGUAAAAUUAUUUUGUUAAAUAAAUCAAUUGUAUUAUA